rnacentral:lncRNA from 1 species
GGAGGAAUUUGAUCUGUUGAUUGGGUUUUCUUAGCACCAUAAAAGAUAGGAGGAACUUCAUCUGUUGAUUGGAUUUUCUUAGCACCAUAAAAGUAUGGAGGAACUUCAUCUGUUGAUUGGGUUUUCUUAGCACCAUAAAAGAUAGGAGGAACUCCAUCUAUUGAUUGAGUUUUCUUAGCACCAUAAAAGAUAGGAGGAACUUCAUCUGUUGAUUGGGUUUUCUUAUCACCAUAAAAGAUAGGAGGAACUUGAUCUGUUGAUUGGGUUUUCUUAGCAUCAUACAGGAAUAUUUGAUCUGUAGAUUGGGUUUCCUUAGCAC